UUCGUGUUCUAUGAUACCAAUAUGUUGGAACAUUUGGCUCGUAAUAAGCCACAUCACAAAACUCGGGGACACAAGAUUGUUGCCCCUAUUGCCCACGCUGGGGACCAAGUUUCAAGUGCUAUAUAAACAAGUGUUUCCAAUUGGUGAAAACAAACCAAGAAACACCAAAAGAGAGAGGAAAAUUCAGGCCAAAUUAAAUUGAAGUGUAAGAGAAAAGCAUUCGUUGAGCGAGUUCUUGUGAAAUUAGUCUUGACGUAAUCUCAGUUUUUUCCAAUAAGUGAUACUAGUCUUCCCCUCAUAGGCAAAAUUGCCAAAACAUGUAAAUCUUUUAUAUUCCAUUUUUUCUAUUGUUUUUCCGUUAUUGUUAGUCUUCCAUUCAUUUCAUCACACUUAUUGGCAUCAUAGUCGCAACAUAUUUCCGCUACAAUAUUAAUAAUAUAACGAUAUUCUCUCACACAGAGUCUAUUAUAACACAAUAAUCUAUCAGCUGUAAAAUUCCAAGACUAUAACUUGAUAUCAGAGUCAUCAAUUUGCUGAAGCAGGGAUUAAGUAGGGAAAGUUAAUUAGAAAACAAUAAUAAAAAGGAAUUGAACGAGGGCACCUCAUCUCCAGCCGUUAAAUUCGAGAGACCCCAAGAAUAAGCCACCAAGUUGAUGGCCUGAGCUGCAUUUCCUUGUAAAGACAAUCUCUCCAGUUGAUGCAUUGACCUUAUGUCAUGCAAAUUCAUAUUCAUCCGUUGCCUUUGCACUGCACCAAAAUUUUUUAAAGAACAUGAUUAAGAUGUUUGGCCUAAAACCUAAGAAGAAGAUUUUAGCUGGUUUCUCGCCUGGGCGGAGUCUACAAAAGCCACUUUAGCAAAAGUGACGUAAGUACAAACACCAUCUACAUAAUCAAUCAAAAAUUCUUCCUUUCACGAGUAUAUUUAACUGAGACUUUUGAAAAAUUUGAUGCACUUUUUUUAAAUGAUAAUUUUUGUAAAUUUCGUUGAUUUUUUAUAGAUUUAUAUGAAAUUAGUGAAAUUAUUUUAAAAUUAUUAUAGACUUUUGUGAAAUU
rnacentral:lncRNA from 1 species